AAAUGAAGAAUAUUUCUGCUUUCUACAUUCUCGUAAUUUUUCUUAUUUUAUCAUUGGAUGCAUCGUGUGUAGAAAGCGAAUCCACGAUCUUAAACAUAUCCCUUGGUAAGUUCAAAGAAAUGAGUUUUAUCAGAGGUCGCAGUAACAGGCAGAUUCUCGUCAAACCCUAUCCUUCGCCAGCCGCAAAUCCUCCUGGUCGUCUGUACGGAUCUAAGACACUUUUCACUAACUUUUUUCUGUAUUUUUUCACUGUUUUCUGAAAGGUUUCUUACAGUAAUUUUUCUUGUUGCACACAGAGGCUAUAGUCCACCACCGAUGGAGAAGAAAUAAGGAAGCUCUCAAUGAUGGACACAGAUCUAGGAUUCUAAUUUCUAAGCUGAUGGUUCGACCUAAGAUAUUUAGUACUGAACUGAUUGUACUGAUUGUUCUAUAAAAUUGCGG
rnacentral:lncRNA from 1 species